UACAGAGGGUGCAAGCGUUGUUCGGAAUUAUUGGGCGUAAAGCGGCUCGCAGGCGGCUUGCUACGUCAUGCGUGAAACACCCCGGCUCAACUGGGGAGGGUCGUGUGAUACGGGCAGGCUUGAAGCCAGUAGGGGGAUGCGGAAUUCCGGGUGGAGUGGUGAAAUGCGUAGAGAUCCGGAGGAACACCAAAGGCGAAGGCAGUGUCCUGGGGAGUACCUGACGCUCAGGUGCGAAAGCCAGGGGAGCGAACGGG
rnacentral:rRNA from 1 species